GACAGAGGGGGCAAGCGUUGCUCGGAAUUACUGGGCGUAAAGGGCGCGUAGGCGGGAUGGCAAGUCGGUCGUGAAAUCCCUCGGCUCAACCGAGGAACGUCGAUCGAUACUGCUGUUCUUGAGGAUUGCAGAGGAGACUGGAAUUCCCGGUGUAGCGGUGAAAUGUGUAGAGAUCGGGAGGAACACCGGUGGCGAAGGCGGGUCUCUGGACCGAUACUGACGCUGAGGAGCGAAAGCGUGGGGAGCGAACAGG
rnacentral:rRNA from 1 species